rnacentral:lncRNA from 1 species
UAUGAAAAUGGUCUAUUUCUGCUCGUGUCAAUAAAAAUGGCCGGGCCAAGCAGGUGAUCUCAUUGAAGAAAUGGGCGACCAUUCUUCGCUACGUUGACAACUUCUUAAGCACAGCUUCAUAUACCCAUGUCACUAGUUUUAUGGCAAAUAAAAUGCAUGCAUCAUUAAAUGUGAGUGCGACAAAUCAAAAAUCUUAUUUUUUGUUUUAUAUAGUUGCUAUUAAAUUAAAAGUUUAAUUAUGUCAUUUGUCCUCAACAUUACAGAUUAAUGAAUAGUACAUUUAUAAAUAUUGGGACGUACU